UUAAGUGACUAAGCGUACACGGUGGAUGCCUUGGCAGUUGGAGGCGAUGAAGGACGUAUUAACUUGCGAUAAGCCUAGUCAAGCUAGUAAAAAGCGCUUGAGACUAGGAUUUCCGAAUGGGGAAACCCACCUGCUUGCAGGUAUCUUACACUGAAUACAUAGGUGUAAGAGGCGAACGCGGAGAACUGAAACAUCUAAGUACCCGUAGGAACAGAAAUCAACCGAGAUUCCGGAAGUAGCGGCGAGCGAAACCGGACCAGCCCUUAAGCUUAUUAUGUGUUAGUGGAACAUUCUGGAAAGUUUGACGAUACAGGGUGAUAGUCCCGUACACGAAAAUGCAUUUUAAGUGAAAUCGAGUAGGUCGGAGCACGUGAAACUUUGACUGAAUAUAGGUGGACCAUCAUCUAAGGCUAAAUACUCCCAACUGACCGAUAGUGAACCAGUACCGUGAGGGAAAGGCGAAAAGAACCCCUGUGAGGGGAGUGAAAUAGAACCUGAAACCGUGUACGUACAAGCAGUAGGAGCCCUUCGAGGGUGACUGCGUACCUUUUGUAUAAUGGGUCAGCGACUUAUAUUUUGUAGCGAGGUUAACCGAUUAGGGUAGCCGUAGGGAAACCGAGUCUUAACUGGGCGUAUAGUUGCAAGGUAUAGACCCGAAACCCGGUGAUCUAGCCAUGGGCAGGUUGAAGGUUGAGUAACAUCAACUGGAGGACCGAACCCACUAACGUUGAAAAGUUAGGGGAUGACCUGUGGCUAGGAGUGAAAGGCUAAUCAAACCGGGAGAUAGCUGGUUCUCCCCGAAAUCUAUUUAGGUAGAGCCUCGGACGAAUACUUACGGGGGUAGAGCACUGUUAAGGCUAGGGGGUCAUCCCGACUUACCAACCCUUUGCAAACUCCGAAUACCGUAAAGUACUAUCCGGGAGACACACGGCGGGUGCUAACGUCCGUCGUGAAGAGGGAAACAACCCAGACCGCCAGCUAAGGUCCCAAAGUCAUAGUUAAGUGGGAAACGAUGUGGAAAGGCCCAGACAGCCAGGAGGUUGGCUUAGAAGCAGCCAUCCUUUAAAGAAAGCGUAAUAGCUCACUGGUCGAGUCGGUCUGCGCGGAAGAUGUAACGGGGCUAAACUAUGCACCGAAGCUGCGGAUUCAAACUUUGUUUGAGUGGUAGGGGAGCGUUCUGUAAGCCGUUGAAGGUGAACCGGGAGGUUUGCUGGAGGUAUCAGAAGUGCGAAUGCUGACAUGAGUAACGAUAAUGCGGGUGAAAAACCCGCACGCCGGAAGACCAAGGGUUCCUAUCCCAUGUUAAUCAGGGUAGGGUAAGUCGACCCCUAAGGCGAGGCCGAAAGGCGUAGUCGAUGGGAAACGGGUUAAUAUUCCCGUACUUGGUAUAAUUGCGAUGGGGGGACGGAGCAGGCUAAACAAGCAUGGCGUUGGUUGUCCAUGUGAAAGUGAGUAGGUUGGUGACUUAGGAAAAUCCGGGUUGCUAAGACUGAGACACGAGACGAGCACCCAAGGGUGUGAAGUUGUUGAUGCCAUACUUCCAGGAAAAGCCUCUAAGCUUCAGAUUAUACCGAAUCGUACCCCAAACCGACACAGGUGGUCAGGUAGAGAAUACUAAGGCGCUUGAGAGAACUCGGGUGAAGGAACUAGGCAAAAUUGUACCGUAACUUCGGGAGAAGGUACGCUCCUAUCUGUGAUGAGACUUGCUCUCUAAGCGGACGGGAGCCGCAGUGACCAGGUGGCUGGGACUGUUUAUUAAAAACACAGCACUGUGCAAAAUCGCAAGAUGACGUAUACGGUGUGACACCUGCCCGGUGCCGGAAGGUUAAUUGAUGGGGUUAGUUUUCGGACGAAGCUCUUGAUCGAAGCCCCGGUAAACGGCGGCCGUAACUAUAACGGUCCUAAGGUAGCGAAAUUCCUUGUC
rnacentral:rRNA from 1 species